rnacentral:rRNA from 1 species
GCCAGACUCCUACGGGAGGCAGCAGUGGGGAAUAUUGCACAAUGGGGGGAGCCCUGAUGCAGCGACGCCGCGUGGGUGAAGGAGCACCUCGGUGCGUAAAGCCCUAUCGGCAGGGAAGAAACAGACGGUACCUGACUAAGAAGCCCCGGCUAACUACGUGCCAGCAGCCGCGGUAAUACGUAGGGGGCAAGCGUUAUCCGGAUUCACUGGGUGUAAAGGGAGCGUAGACGGCGACGCAAGUCUGGAGUGAAAGCCCGGGGCCCAACCCCGGGACUGCUCUGGAAACUGCGGCGCUGGAGUACGGGAGGGGCAGGCGGAAUUCCUGGUGUAGCGGUGAAAUGCGUAGAUAUCGCGCAGAACUCCGAUUGCGAAGGCAGCGUACCGGCGCCGGACUGACGCUGAGGCACGAAAGCGUGGGUAUCGAACAGGAUUAGAUACCCUAGUAUAG